CCUACGGGAGGCAGCAGUGGGGAAUAUCGGACAAUGGGGGGGACACUGAUCCAGCGAAGCCGCGUGAGUGAAGAAGGAUUUCGGUAUGUAAAGCUCUAUCAGCAGGGAAGAAAAUGACGGUACCUGACCAAGAAGCCGCGGCUAACUACGUACCAGAAGCCGCGGUAAUACGUAGGGGGCAAGCGUUAGCCGGAUUUACUGGGUGUAAAGGGAGCGUAGACGGUGCAGCAAGUCUGAUGUGAAAGGUCGGGGCCCAACCCCGGGACUGCAUUGGAAACUGGUGAACUGGAGUACAGGAGAGGUAAGCGGAAUUCGCGGUGUAGCGGUGAAAUGCGUAGAUAUUAGGAGGAACACCAGUUGCGAAGGCGGCUUACGGGACUGUAACUGACGUUGAGGCUCGAAAGCGUGGGGAGCAAACAGGAUUAGAUACCCCAGUAGUC
rnacentral:rRNA from 1 species